UCGUGGCGUGAAAAGCCGACCAUAAAAAACAGGGUCUGUCCGACAUCUGACAGACCCUCCAGUACACACAGCAGUGCGUCCUUUCGCCAAUCCUGAGUAUUAUAUCCAUGAAGCAGGUAUAUUUAGGUAUAACACCUUUCCCGCAAAAUGAAAGGAUAUUGAGUGUUUGAUUUUA
rnacentral:misc_RNA from 1 species